AGUUCGACUGGACUAGAGCAUUGACUGAGGAGUGAUAUAUGCAAAAUCCCUUCUCGGGUGGCAAUUUUCAUGCAACCAUUUUUCACCUUUUAUGUGA
rnacentral:snoRNA from 1 species